AGAACGAACGCUGGCGGCGUGGAUAAGACAUGCAAGUCGGACGCGAUUUAUCCGGUUAGCAAUAACUGGGUGGAUUGAGUGGCGAAAGGGUGCGUAACACGUGGGAAUUUACCAAGAAGUGGGGAAUAGCUCGACGAAAGUCGAAUUAAUACCGCAUGUGAUCGUAAGAUCAAAGCCGGGGACCGCAAGGCCUGGCGCUUUUUUGAGAAGCCCGCGGCCCAUCAGCUAGUUGGCGAGGUAAUGGCUCACCAAGGCUAUGACGGGUAGCUGGUCUGAGAGGACGACCAGCCACACUGGAACUGAGACACGGUCCAGACACCUACGGGUGGCAGCAGUCGAGAAUUUUUCACAA
rnacentral:rRNA from 1 species